CUCAGAUUGAACGCUGGCGGCAGGCCUAACACAUGCAAGUCGAGCGGUAGCACAAGAGAGCUUGCUCUCUGGGUGACGAGCGGCGGACGGGUGAGUAAUGUCUGGGAAACUGCCUGAUGGCGGGGGAUAACUAGUGGAAACGGUAGCUAAUACCGCAUAACGUCGCAAGACCAAAGUGGGGGACCUUCGGGCCUCACGCCAUCAGAUGUGCCCAGGUGGGAUUAGCUGGUAGGUGGGGUAACGGCUCACCUAGGCGACGAUCCCUAGCUGGUCUGAGAGGAUGACCAGCCACACUGGAACUGAGACACGGUCCAGACUCCUACGGGAGGCAGCAGUGGGGAAUAUUGCACAAUGGGCGCAAGCCUGAUGCAGCCAUGCCGCGUGUGUGAAGAAGGCCUUCGGGUUGUAAAGCACUUUCAGCGAGGAGGAAGGGUAAUGU
rnacentral:rRNA from 1 species